UACGUAGGGCGCGAGCGUUUGUCCGGAAUCAUUGGGCGUAAAGAGCUCGUAGGCGGCCUGUCGCGUCUGCUGUGAAAUCCCGGGGCUUAACCCCGGGCGUGCAGUGGAUACGGGCUGGCUGGAGGCAGGCAGGGGAGAACGGAAUUCCCGGUGUAGCGGUGAAAUGCGCAGAUAUCGGGAGGAACACCGGUGGCGAAGGCGGUUCUCUGGGCCAUUCCUGACGCUGAGACGCGAAAGCUAGGGGAGCGAACAGG
rnacentral:rRNA from 1 species